rnacentral:sRNA from 1 species
UGAACCAGAACAACCAUAGAUCUGUGUCCAGGUUUCCUGUUCACGGGGACUUCGGUCUCUGUGUUUCGGUUGAGAGCUGGGCAGUUCGACGUUAUAAGGAGCCAUUAUAUUCACUGCUGAUGGCGAUUUCCAGUCGACGGAUCUCAGAUUAAAUGUUGGGCAUCAGGUGUUCACGCCGGUCUUGAGCUCCCUUCCACGUGUUUGGUGAGCUCGGCUGGUGAUUCUGGUGUUUGACGGCGUCAUAUUCCUGAUCCCUUCGCCGAUUGGCCGUUGGCCAGUGAGGUUGGGGAAAAACCAUGACUUGCCAACAUCC